ACUUAAAUAGUUUAAUAAAAAUAUUGAUUUGUGGAAUCAAAGUUAUAAUUUUAUUUUAAGUU
rnacentral:tRNA from 1 species